rnacentral:rRNA from 1 species
GACGAAGGUGGCGAGCGUUGUUCGGAAUCACUGGGCCUAAAGCGCACGUAGGCGGCGACAUAAGUUGGGUGUGAAAUCCCCCGGCCCAACCGGGGAACUGCGCCCAGUACUGUGUUGCUUGAGGAUCCAAGGGGUGCAUGGAAUUCCCGGUGGAGCGGUGAAAUGCGUUGAUAUCGGGAGGAACUCCGGCGGCGAGAGCGGUGCGCGGGUGGAUUACUGACGCUGAGGUGCGAAAGCCAGGGGAGCAAACGGG